UGAUUGUGUAAUUAUACCAAUA
rnacentral:piRNA from 1 species